UUGCUUUGGCAGCAUAUAUUCUAAAAUUGGAAUGAUACAUGGCUCCUGUAUAAGGAUGACAUAUAAAUUUAUAAAGCCUUCCAUAUUAAA
rnacentral:snRNA from 1 species